rnacentral:rRNA from 1 species
UGAGCAAUCUGCCCUUCUCAUCGGAAUAAGCGUUGGAAACGACGUCUAAUGCCGAAUACGACCUCCUUUCGCAUGAUCGGAGGUGGAAAGCUCCGGCGGAGAAGUAUGAGCUCGCGGCCUAUCAGCUAGUUGGUGUGGGUAACGGCCCACCAAGGCGACGACGGGUAGCCGGCCUGAGAGGGUGACCGGCCACACUGGGACUGAGACACGGCCCAGACUCCGUACGGGAGGNAGCG